AUCUAUCGGGGAUCACUCUCCCAUCGACUGCUGAACUCCAGCUUGGCGAGAGGCAGAAGCAAAGUCGACGGGGAAGCAGCAGCCAUCGAUCCCACACUGCAAGGACGCAAAUUUAUUCUAGUUCCAACAGCAGAGGGCAGCAAGUUACCAAACAGAUCAGAGAAGGCUAAGAAGCUGGAGCUGUGGGGAGGAGGGGAAGAAACCAUGAAGCAUUCACCAAAGCCAACCUCAAAGCUUAACCAGUGUAUGACAUCAGUGGCUGGCUCUCCAAGACACUACAGGGGCCAUGUCAUACUGCUUUAAAAAAAGAAGAGGGCAAAAUUGCAG